rnacentral:tRNA from 1 species
UCCCUGGCGGUCCAGUGGCUAAGACUCUGCAUUCCCAAUGCAGGGGCACAGGUGUGAUCCCUGAUCAGGGAG